CAGCACGGCAGCAAUGCUGGUGGCGACCGGCGCACGGGUGCGUAACGCGUAUGCAACCUACCUUUAACAGUGGGAUAGCCCCGAGAAAUCGGGAUUAAUACCGCAUAACAAUGCGAGCUGGCAUCAGUUUGCAUUUAAAACUCCGGUGGUUAAAGAUGGGCAUGCGUGACAUUAGCUGGUUGGUGAGGUAACGGCUCACCAAGGCUACGAUGUCUAGGGGUUCUGAGAGGAUGAUCCCCCACACUGGUACUGAGACACGGUCCAGACUCCUACGGGAGGCAGCAGUGGGGAAUUUUGGACAAUGGGGGCAACCCUGAUCCAGCCAUUCCGCGUGAGUGAAGAAGGCCUUCGGGUUGUAAAGCUCUUUCAGCAGGAACGAAACGGUCGGCUUUAAUAAAGCCGGCUAAUGACGGUACCUGCAGAAGAAGCACCGGCUAACUACGUGCCAGCAGCCGCGGUAAUACGUAGGGUGCGAGCGUUAAUCGGAAUUACUGGGCGUAAAGCGUGCGCAGGCGGCGACAUAAGACAGAUGUGAAAUCCCCGGGCUCAACCUGGGAACUGCGUUUGUGACUGUGUUGCUAGAGUGUAGCAGAGGGGGGUGGAAUUCCACGUGUAGCAGUGAAAUGCGUAGAGAUGUGGAGGAACACCGAUGGCGAAGGCAGCCCCCUGGGUUAACACUGACGCUCAUGCACGAAAGCGUGGGGAGCAAACAGGAUUAGAUA
rnacentral:rRNA from 1 species